rnacentral:lncRNA from 10 species
CAGUGAGUGGUGACAGCGCCACUGCACUCCAGUGUGAGCAAGAGUGAGACACUGUCUCAAAACAAAACAAAAAGCCAGGCGCGGUGGCUCACGCCUGUAAUCCCAGCACUUUGGGAGGCCGAGGCAGGUGGAUCAUGAGGUCAGAAGUUCAAGACCAGCCUGACCAACGGGGUGAAACCCCAUCUCUACUAAAAAUACAAAAAUUAGGCCGGGCACAGUGGCUCACACCUGUAAUCCCCAUACUUUGGAAGUCUGAGGCGGGCAGAUCGCCUCAGGUCAGGAGUUCGAGACCAGCCUGGCCAACAUGGUGAAACUGUCUCUACUAAAAAUACAAAAAUUAACUGAGUGUGGUGGCUUUCAUGCGCGUCCGUGUGAAGAGACCACCAAACAGGCUUUGUGUGAGCAAUAAAGCUGUUUAUUUCACCUGGGUGCAGGUGGGCUGAGUCCGAAAAGAGUCAGCGAAGGGAGAUAGGGGUGGGGCUGUUUUAUAGUAUUUGGGAAGGUAAUGGAAAAUUACAGUCAAAGGGCGGGCAGGAGUGGGGGGUCGCAAGGUGCUCAGUGGGGGUGCUUCUGAGCCAGGAGAAGGAAAUUUGCAGGGUUAAUCACUCAGUUAAGGUGGGGCAGGAACAAAUCACAAUGGUGGAAUGUCAUCAGUUAAGGCGGGGCAGGGCCUUUUCACUUCUUUUGUGAUUCUUCAGUUACUUCAGGCCAUCUGGGUGUAUAUGUGCAAGGCACAGGGGAUGCGAUGGCUUGGCUUGGGCUCAGAGGCCUGACAGUGGCACACGCCUGUAAUCCCAGCUACUUGGGAGCCUGAGGCAGGAGAAUCACUUGAACCCAGGAGGUGCAGGGUGCAGUGAGCCGAGAUCGCCCCACUGCACUCCAGCCUGGGCAACAGAGACUCCAUCUCAAAAAAACAAAAAAAAAAGCACAGGUCCCCUCCCUCAGUCCUGCAGACUUCCUCAAGCUGGGAAGGACCAAGGAUUUUGGGAAAUAACUCCACCGGCUUACAGACAGUGCACCCCAGGACAAAGAGUCAUGGUGUAAAUUUUAAUUAUCCUUUGUAGAGGCUUCAAAAAAAAAAAAAUCUAGAGUGCAGAGGUUCAGUCUGGUCCACACAGUUCUGAAUGCCUUUUAAUUAUCAUCACACACACCAGAGAAGGUCAUCUUAGAAUAUUUAAUCAGUUAGCACUAGAUGAAGGCUGGAGUAGGAGAGACUGGGAUAGUGGGGGGCAAUGUGGGGAUGGAGGCAGGGCGAGGGAGAUAAAGUCAAACUGGUUUUUUUUUUGUUUUUUUUUUUUUUUUUUUUUGGAGACAGAGCCUUACUCUGUCGCCCAGGCUGGAGUGCAAUGGUGUGAUCUCAGCUCACUGCAACCUCUGCCUCCUGGGUUUAAUCGAUUCUCCUGCCUCAGCCUCCCAAGUAGCUGGGAUUACAGGCACCCACCACCAUGCCCAGCUAAUUUAUUUGUAUUUUUUUAGUAGAGACAGGGUUUCACCAUGUUGGCCAGGCUGGUCUCGAACUCCUGACCUCAGGUGAUCCACCCGCCUCGGUCUCCCAAAGUGCUGGGAUUAUAGGGGUGAGCCACCGUGCCCAGCUAAGAUAUUUCAAUCUGUGAAUAACCCAUAUGGCCUGGUAACAGCAAGCACCUGGGAAUAUAUACAUAUAACCCACAUACGGACUGUCCCGUUCACUCCUCACAACCACUCUGCUAACAUACUACCAUCACCCCAUUUUAGAGAUGAGGAAACUGAGGCAGAGGUGCCUUGCCUAAGGUUUACAUAGUUCCAUUUGAGUGCCUACAUGGGAGUGCUUCAUUUGGUCCCCAAAGCUAGCCUGAGACAAGAACUUUCUUCUCCCCCCCCCGCAAGAGACAGGCUCUUCCCAUGUUGCCCAGUUAUUAUUUUAUAAAUGUAGAAACCGAGGCACUGAGAGGUAAAGUAACUUGCACAGGAUCACAAGCCAGCCGAGAAGUGGUAGAGCUUGGAUUUGAACUUACACAAUCUGGGACUCAUACUCUUAAUACACAGUGGUACUGUCAAUACAGGAGACACAUGUGGCUAUUUAAUUAAAAGUAGUUGGGCAGAGUGGCUCACUCCUAUAAUCUCAGCAUUUGGGGAGGCCAAGGCAGGAAGAUUGUUUGAGCCCAGAAGUUCAACACUGCAGUGAGCUAUAGUUACACCACUGUGCUCCAGCCUGGGCGACACAGCGAGACCCUGACUCCAAAAAAAAAUCUUAAGGUUUUUUUUUUUUUUUUUUUUUUUUUGAGACAGGGUCUCGCUCUGUUGCCCAGGCUAGAAUUUAGCGGCACGAUCACAGAUCAUCACAGCCACGCACGACCUCCUUGGCUCAAGGGAUUCCUCCCACCUCAGCCUCUCACGUAGCUGGGACUACAGGUAUGCAUAACCUCGCUGGGCUCGUUACUUUGUUUUUUUUUUAGAGGCAGGAUUUCACCAUGUUGCCCAGGGUGGUCUCGUACUCCUGGAUUCAAGCAAUCCUCCUGCUUCGGCCUCCCAAAGUGUCAGGAUUACAGGCGUGAGCCACUGUGCCCAGUCUCAAACAAAAUUAAAAAUUCAGUUUCUCAGUCACACUAGCCACAUUUCAAGUGCUCAGAAACUUUAUGUGGGGCCAGGCAUGGUGGCUCAUGCCUGCAAUCCCAGCACUUUGGGAGGCCGAGGCGGGCGGAUCACGAGGUCAGGAGUUCGAGACCAGCCUAACCAACAUGGUGAAACCCUGUCUCUACUAAAAAAAUACAAAAAUUAGCCGGGCGUGGUGGUGUGCGCCUGUAAUCUCAGCUACUUGGGAGGUUGAGGCGGGAGCAUUGCUUGAACCCGGGAGGCGGAGGAUGUGGUGAGCCGACGUCGUGCCAUUGCACUCCAGCCUGGGCAAUAAGAGCGAAACUCCGUCUCAAAAAAAAAAAACAAAGGUUUAUGUGGCCACUGGCUACUGUACUGGACAGUACAGACCUAGAACAUGAACCAAACAUCACAGAAAGUUCCAGUGGAGAACACUGCUACAUAUCUGCCUGUUUUAGUUAGAAGCCAACAUUUUAUUUUUAUUUUAUUUUAUUUUUUGAGAUGGAGUUUCGCUGCUGUUGCCCAGGCUGGAGUGCAAUGGUGCGAUCUCGGCUCACCACAACCUCCGCCUCCCAGGUUCAAGCAAUUCUCCUGCCUCAGCCUCCUGAGUAGCUGGGAUCACAGGCAUGCUCCACCACGCCCAGCUAAUUUUGUAUUUUUAGUAGAGAUGGGGUUUCU